GUUUGCACUCAUCGGGGAAGGGUGAGAACCUUCGACUAAGGUUCGAUUCGAGCGAAAGCGAGAGAACGUUGCCACAGGCAACGGCCCGAAGGGUGAGGAGCGAAGCGACGAAUAAUCUUUCCCCCACCACCA
rnacentral:sRNA from 1 species